rnacentral:lncRNA from 1 species
UCGACAUUGGUUGAACAUAGGGUUCUUGCAUGCAAGUGUAUGGCCGGGUAAAUAAGUACGUGAUUAAUAUGUUGGGAAAAGCAGUAAUGGUCGAGCAAAAUGAAUAGGAUAGACACAAUCUUCUCCCACCAAGUUACUGGUCAAGAUACUAUAUCGAAUGCGACAUUGCUGUAAGUACAAACAUAAAUAUGGGCAGACAAUACUCUCUUUUUUCCAUUCAAUGCUCUGUUCUUUUUUGUGCCCCCCCCCCCUUCUGUGCCUUUGAUGCAUCUUUGAUCGGGUCAAAUUUAUCCAGAAAUUAUUCCAAAAGGCAUUUGAAACUCCAAUGGCGUUAUCUGUUCACCUGAGGGAGAGAAUGAUAGGAUUCCAGCUUGAUCGAAUUCAC